GCUGGUGCAGACACACAUUUGGCUACUUGCCUUUCCAGUGCCCUCUUUUUGACCUCUUACUCGCCUCGGGUCUGGAUCUUUCCUUCCUGGAUCUGCUCCAACUACCGCCUCCUGUUUUACUCUUCUGUUACCAACAAGACUUUCUUACCCUUCCACCUCAGUAAUGUGACAUUUGGUGACCGGUGACAGGCUAGAAGCCUCAGAAAGACUGGGCAAGUCACUGGGCCUCCCUCUUUGAAAGCUGUGUGUGGGCAUGAGCCACCAACAAUCACCUGGUUCGAAUGGAUUGCAAGCAGGCAAAGUGCUAAGGGGGACACAAGAUGAAUAAGACAUGACCUCUGCUCUCCAGGAUCCGACCACGGAACAAAUACAUGGAAAGAUAACUAAUCCUGGAUGCAGCCUGUUGCCGAUGACUGAUGCAGUCCCACGGGCAACGGAAGUACAGGGAGGAAGACAAAUGACUGGGCAGUAAGAUGGCUGCUCCUCAGGCCCCCUCAGGAACUUGUUAGUUAACAGAUAAUUAAGAAAACAUUUGGAGAAGUGGAAUAGGAGUCCGUUCCUAGGCCUGGCAACAUGGACUUGUUUGACCCUGUCUGCAAGAUGGAGAAGCAGUCCUUGACAUGACUGGACUCAGACAACUGUCUCCUUACAAGUUGUCCCUGAGAUGUCUGGACUCAGGCAACUGUUUACAACAGAAGCUGUUCAGCUCUAGAGAAGUCCUCAGAUGCCCACCCUAGGGCCUGGGACCUUGAAUUUAGCGUCUUCCCUGUGAUUA